GAUGAACGCUGGCGGCGUGCCUAAUACAUGCAAGUCGAGCGAACAGACGAGGAGCUUGCUCCUCUGACGUUAGCGGCGGACGGGUGAGUAACACGUGGAUAACCUACCUAUAAGACUGGGAUAACUUCGGAAAACCGGAGCUAAUACCGGAUAAUAUAUUUAACCGCAUGGUUCAAUAGUGAAAGACGGUUUUGCUGUCACUUAUAGAUGGAUCCGCGCCGCAUUAGCUAGUUGGUAAGGUAACGGCUUACCAAGGCAACGAUGCGUAGCCGACCUGAGAGGGUGAUCGGCCACACUGGAACUGAGACACGGUCCAGACUCCUACGGGAGGCAGCAGUAGGGAAUCUUCCGCAAUGGGCGAAAGCCUGACGGAGCAACGCCGCGUGAGUGAUGAAGGUCUUCGGAUCGUAAAACUCUGUUAUUAGGGAAGAACAAAUGUGUAAGUAACUAUGCACGUCUUGACGGUACCUAAUCAGAAAGCCACGGCUAACUACGUG
rnacentral:rRNA from 1 species